CGAUUCUUAUAUCAAUUUUCUGUACUUGCUUAUGCUCUAACAUCACGUGUAAAGUGGGUUCAUUCCCGCUCCCCAGUGCACUCUGGUAUUUAGGUACUCUUAGGUUUAAAUUUAUUCACAAUUUUCCACACCAUCACUGAAGGAAAUUUUGUGAAAAACAUGUUCUUUUGAGCAACAUCUAUAGCAUGCAAUUAACAAAUUAAAGGCGGAAUCAUGCUUGUAUGCACUCAAAAACAAAACAUUACCCAUAAAAUUCAAAGCCUAGUAGUUAGGUGAACCAAGACUCAACUCAAAACAAAGUGAGUUGAGAAAUUUAUACCUUUGUUGAUUCCUCUUUGCAUAAGCAAAGGAUAAUCACCCAAGAGAUAGGGCCUUCAUUCCUUGCUUCUUAGCUCUAUGGAUUUGGAUGGAAGAAUUGGUUUCUCCAAGUUCUCAAAGUUGAGAACCUCUAAGUCUCCACACCAAGGAAGGAUUGAUGAAGCAAAUGAGUGACCUAGAGGAAGUAAGAUUGCUAGCUAUGUUCCUCUAGGGUGGCCGGCCUCUUAGAGAGCAAAGAGAGCUUUUGUUCUCAUCUUUUCUCCCAAAAGAAACCCUAAUGAAGAAAAAGCUAUAAAGUCAUAUUUAUACCUACCUUCAUUGGAGUGGCAAACUUGUAAUAAGUCCAAAACCCACUCCAUUAUCAAUAUGGCCGGCCAUAGGGUGUUAUUGGGUUGUUUAGGCCUUUGUGAAUAUUUAGUCAUUAAGUUGUCAUACAACUUAAGUCAAUGGGCUUGACGUUCGAA
rnacentral:lncRNA from 1 species